rnacentral:rRNA from 1 species
AUGGUAGAGAUAACUGCAAGCAAACUUGCAAUCUCACGGCGUAUUUUGCAAACUUGCGAAUUUGUAACACCACCAUUGAUCGAUCCCCAUUCCCAUUCGGUUCCCAGAUCCUCUACUCCCAUAGAGCUGACAAUAAUUAAAUCAACAUUGAAAAAUGAUGAUACAACCCCCUCUCAAACCGUUAAGGGCUCCUUUGAUUCACAGGGUUUGAGAAGUGUAGGAAUAGGAAACAUACAGGAACAGGAUGUACUGUCAACUGAAAUCCUACGUCAGGUAGCAAAACAGAGGAUUUUUUUCAUGAAGUCCAACCUCAUGCUUGUUUUCCUGUGA